GGACUCCGGUGGGCAGGAAUAGGCAGAGUCGGUGCCCGCGACCUCUGCCAUCGCCCGGAGAUGCAGAUGAGGCCCCGAGAUUUAGGCCUGCGAGACGGGUGACGACGUCGGUCCAGCUCUUCACUGGAGAACCUCAGAAUUGAAGUUUAUGCUCCUGUCAGAAAAUCCACUGAGCCCAGGCGCCUGAGGGGCCCUUCCUUGCACCCACAUCCCCACUCAGCAUUGAUUGUUCCUUGGGUCGUAUUAUGUCUGAGUCCUUGGCUGUUAAGUUGUUAGUCUAACAUUCUAGAAUACAGAAAUACAAGAGAAAACGGGGCCUUGAAUCUGAGAACUGGGCUUGGGAUUAAGAAGUCAGGGCUGGAUUUCAGCACAUGGAAUGACUUAGUGGCCUCCAGGCAGAAGCCGCUGCUGACCAGGAGAGUCUGGUGAGGUCCCAGGUGGAUGAUUUGCUCCAAAUUGUUGAGCAUCAGAUGCAAUUAAUUUCCUGAUUACAUGACCUUGUGAACACAACACCAGCAGUGUCCUGGAAAGUUACUUCAAGGGAACAUUUGGGCCCUAAUAUUUCGUUCAUGAAUGUUGUUGGUAGAGUGACAUCAUGUCCAUAGACUUGAGGAAACACGCAGGGGUUUGCACUGCCACCAUGGAAAAUUUCACCAAAAAUCGAUAUUGAUGCUUGGCACAGGAGAGAAGAGCGUGAGUCCCGUCGGGACAAGUUACACCAUGGGACAAGCAGCUUGAAAAAUCUCAGUGAUUUGAAAGAAAAAUCAUUAUUUUUUGCUCUUGUCACGUGUACAUAAAAUUUGACCUGGGGGCUCUGCUCUGUGGUGUCCCCCAGGACCCAGGUGGGGGGCUCGGACACUGUGGACACACAAGACUCUUGCAGGCUCAGAAACUUCCACCUGGAGCUGAUGUGCUGGUGGUUUCUGUUUACAUUCCAUGCACUGGAGGAAGUCGCAUGGCAGAUGCUAGAGGACCAGCAUGGGAGAGCCGUUCUAGCAACCAGGACACCUGCCGCAGCACCCCACCUUCUCCAGGAAACAAGGACACCUGCACACGCCCACUCGAGAGUUGGUGACCGGCCUCGGCUCUGGGGUUCUUGCAACGCAUGCUCCUGGUGGGGUUCUCCUUCCUGUCCUUCUGAGCUACGUGUGGAUCACGCUCCCCAUAUGUGGAACCUAGGAACUGCCCACCAGUGGGGCCAGGAAGCCUAUCUUUCAGAGAACUGGGAAGAUCACCUUCUACUUUACCCCUGUCUGGGAAACUGUAAACAUGGGUUCCACGGUCUUGGACAAUGAGACGAUUCCCAGUCUUUGCCUGUCGCUCCUCUAGGAGAUGAUGUGCUGCUGGAACACUUUUCCAGUACGAUUCUUUCCUGCUCUGUGAAGAGGUGUGCGGCACGCAGAUCCCUCGGCCAGCUCCCAUCUUGUGGACGUGCUGUCGUCACUGGGACUGUGACUCAGUCUCCAAGGAGUGCCUUGGCGUGGCCUGCUUUAGGUUGUAAAGACCCAGUUUUAUCCACUUUCUGUGAAGAAGCCAACAGGGCAUGGAGUGUGUUCCAAGGUUUCAGCGGCUGCGAUGGCUGGUGCUCUGUGGGCAUGACAGCGGAAAGGCACCUCCCUCUGUGGGCCCUGAGAUCUGUGCUGGACUCAGCUCUGUGGCCGUGUCCAUGGGGGCAGCCACAGACCAUGCGUGGCAGGUGCACAGCGCUGUUCCAUGAGAAUUUUAUACACAAAAGCGGACCGGCUGGACUCUGGAUCAUAAUCUGCCGGCCCCUGGGUAAGAGAUUUUAAAUAUUUACUUGACUCUUUUCAACAGAAGGGAGCGAAUAAUGGAAAAGACCUGAUUCAGCGUGUAUCAGGAAGGACCGGUGUAAAUCCAACUCGUUUAACUGAAUUUACAAUAUUUGGUGUAUUAUGCUUUUAGGGGUUAAAAUGGGUCACACAAGCACAGCAUGCCCUUGACUGGCCUGGCGGGGCACCUCAGUGUUUCGACUUGUGGUUCCCGUGCUCACUGGGGCUGGAGGCCCCUGUCAGUAGUAAAGUGCAUCUGGGGUUCUGGGUUCUUCUCCUGGCUUUGUUAUAUUUGUAUGAACUUGUGCACGGUUAGAGGUUUGGGCUAAAUUUGGCUCACAGGCUGCAAAAGUUCUGUGACCCCUUUUUCCCCCCAGUUGAUUAAUGUUAUAAAGAUUAGAAUAUUAUUACAUAAAAGCUGGAUUUUUGGUUCCUUUCACAUUGGAAUAGCUGCCAGCAUUGGGCCUGUGUUGAUUUCUCUAGGGCAAUGUUGGCUGUGGUAGAAAUGACAGCCCCCCACUAGGGUGUGUGUGCUGGGCCCACAGGCCCCGCCCUCUGGACUUGGUCACCUCGGCUCUCAGGUUACCCAGCUCUUUGGUUUCUAAUGUUGCGUUUCUGGACUGCACGACAUACAAGUCUCUCACCACAACAAGACUCAAUGAUUCUGUGUGUUAGAAAAAAAUAGCCAGUGAGGCAAGUGUAUACUCGUGUUGAUGAAUUCAUAGGAUUAACUCUGUAAGUUGGUGGCAGUUUGUAUCCUUCUUCCAGGUACUCUCCACUUCUCCUGGCUAGAAAGGUUCUGCCACCUGUCCUGAGGUCAGGCCCAGACAAUGGAAUGGGAAUGGAAGUGACUCUGCCCCUUAUUGGCAGAAACUGUAAAAGCCACACAAGGUUCCCUCACCCUCCCCCUCUGCCACGAGCCUGGCAAUGCUCAGCAUGGGAAAAUUGUUUCACCUGAGCCUGAGGAUGCAGGUGCUACCCCCAGCCUGCAGUGGAUGAGAAGCAUGGCAAGUGGCUCAGCUGAGUGUUUUCAAGCCAUGGAGGUGUUUGGAGGUUGUUUGCUACCAUGCUUUGCCCCUGCAAACACAGCCAUGGAGAAGGCCAUCGGCAGAGCCUGACCUGCUCGUCUUACCUGUUCAAUUACUUUUUGAGGAAAUGUGGCCGUGAAAUGAGUAAAACAUGAUUCCUACCUUUAGGGACCUCAAAGCAGUGGAUUAAAGGAAGUCACAGAUUAGACAAGCACACAAAGUUCCUAAGAGCAAACUUUGUUAAGGUUGGCAAGUCCCUCUUAUCCGCUGUUUUGCCUUCUGAGGUUUCAGUUACUUUCAGUCAAUGAUAAUCCAAAAACAUUAAGCGAAUAAUUCCAGAAAUAAACAGUUCAUAAGUUUUAACUCGUGUUCCAUUCUGAGUAGUGUGAUGAAGUCUCAGGCCGCCCAUUCAGUCCCACCUGCGGCGUGGCUCCUCCCUCUGUCCAGCAGAUCCACCUGUCUCUACUGCCUGCCUGUCCGCCACCUAGUGGCCAUCUCAGUCACAAGGUCGUCAUGAUACCUUGAUGAUACCAUGCUGUGUUUUCAAGGAACCCUCAUUUUACUUAAUAAUGGCCCCAAAGUGCCAGAGUAGUCAUGCUGGCAAUUCAGAAAUGUCAAAGAGAACCUGCAAAGUGCUUCCUUUAAGUGAACAGGUGAAAGGUCUUGACUAACCCAGGAAAGGAGAAAAUCAUAUGCCAAGUUUCCUAAUGUCUAUGGCGAGAAUCAAUCUUCUAUUCAUGAACUUGUGAGGAAGGAAAAAGAAAUGCAUCCAAGUUUUGUUGCCACACCUCAGAGUGCAAUAGUUACAGCCACAGUGCAGUUUUGUUGCCACACCUCAGAGUGCAAUAGUUACAGCCACAGUGCAUGGUGGUUGGUUCAGAUGGAAAGGCCAUUAAAUUUUGGGGGUGGAGGGGAGGACAGGAACAGAAGCAUGUUCUGAUUGAUGGCAAUUGGGUCCCUUACCAUCUGUGGUUUCAGGCGUCGGCUGGGGGUCUUGAAAUGUUUGCCUCCAGAAUAUAGGGUACAGGGGGGAUAAAGGGAGACUACUAGCUCUCUCAGUAUCCAGAAUAAACAAUAGAUUUUUGAAACAUUCCUGAGAAAAUACUGGGAGUUGCAUAUUGGCCAGGUGUAUUCUUUAAAGUUGUUGCUUCUAAAGGGUGGGGAUGACUCAAUUUCAGAAAAGCAAACCUUUGCUGAAAGACAACAUUAUUUCUGUUGGCAGAAGUCGGCUUGAGCAAUCUAAAUUUUCCACGGCGUAUGCAUAUAUAGGAAUAAAAGUCAUGGCUGUUUGUAAUUUGUAUGAGAUUUAAAAGCAAGUGCAAAAAUCUGACUUAAAGAUGAGAAAGAUGAGGUAGGAAAAAACAGCUGCUUCUCUGGAAAGAAACAGGAAUGUUGUCCCUCAGGAAUGAAUGCCUAACCUUGCGUAGUUGAAUCUCCCCUAACUUUGCUGCAGACAACAUGGAUGUGAGCUGGCUCCAAGCUUUCUAAAGUGAAAGUAAUUCAGUUCCCACUCAGGGUUCAAUUGCAGCAACUCUCUCAGCCUAGUGUCUAGUUAGUAGCCUUGUAACGCAAACCCCAACUGUGCUGGGGAAUGGGAAGGGUGUGAUGAUAAAAGAUGAAUAAACCAGUGUUCAGCUCAGCUGGGAGGGUCUCCCAGAGCCUCAGUGGAAGAGUCUUACUGCCUUUCCAGGUAACUCUGUCUCUUCCAGAACAUCCCCAAGGACUGGUCUCUAGACUUUGGGUUGACUUCAAGGAGAACAGCCAAGGCCUACAUGAGGCCAACAAACAUAUGAAAAAAUGCUCAUCAUCACUGGUCAUCAGAGAAAUGCAAAUCAAAACUACAUUGAGAUACCAUCUCACGCCAGUUAG